rnacentral:misc_RNA from 1 species
UCUAAACAUCGCAGUACUUGGCUAACAAAAGGAAGAAGAAAAAUCCUUCUUUUUCUGAACCCUAAUGACCAAUUCACCACUCUUCUCAUGAAACCAUCUUCAACUUUACCUACACAUGUAUUAACCCGCCAUGAAUUUGGGUUUUCUCAUCCAAUUCGAUCUGUAAGUUUUCAUUCUUCUUAAAUUUAAAUUCUAGUAAUUCAAACUUCCCUAUUCUUGCUGGAAUUGAGUUCCUCUUUGCUUCUUUCUCAGAAAAUUUUACAAGGGAAAAUGAAAACUAAUAACCAGAAAAUAAUGCAGAAUUUGAAUUGAUUCUCUUUUUCUCAGCGGCAAAUAAAAUUGUGUACUUUAGUUUGUUUAUGUGCUCAAUUUGUCAUUUGGGUGAUGCUUAGAAAUGCUAAAUUUCAUGCUUCAGUUAUUGAUUAGGUCAUCAGAGCUAUUACUACUAAGCUUAGUUCUGAUAAGCUUUUAAAGAUAACAAAACCCAUUAAAGGUGCCUUUGCGAAUUUAAAAAAAGAACAUUGAAUCCAAUUUUCUCAAAGGAAAUGCAUCCUAAUUAUUUCAUUGUGUUAGAAGAAGUUUUAUUUUGGGAGUAUCUUUACUCUAUUGUAAGUAAUUCUCUUACUUAUUCUUUAGCUUUUGACCAGAUAUUGUGAGUACUGCUUAUAAUGAUGUCCAGAACUAUGCUACUCGUCUUUCUGUCACUUGUACUCAUAAUCACCUCUCAGUUUGAGUGGAGACAACAACUUGUAAGUGACAUUGAUUCCAGUAAUGCUGUCACCCAGAAACAGCAACAGAUAUCAAAGAGGGAAGAAACUGUAAAGGAGAAGGUAAAAAAGUAUAUUAUUUUCCAAGUUUUGUACAUCCCUUUGCUGAUUGAUUUUUAUAUUAAGUUGGUUAUGUUUGAUGCUUUCAAUUAAAUUAAGUCACUCAGGUUGUUUACAUUAAGUCACAAUUGUUUCAGAAUGUUGAUUAUGAUUAAGUUGUUUAUUUAUUCUUUGCAAAAGUAUCAGCACAAUGAUAUGGGCUAAUCAUUACAUAAAUUUCUGUUAUCAGAGCAAAGAGAACAUAUGUAAAUCAUUCCAACUUUUAGCAAGUGCUACAAAUAUUUAGAGGCCUUUCCUCUUUCUCAAUAACAAUCAGAUUCAGAUGUAUAAACAGAAACCAUGAUUAGAAUUGGAGGAAGUAAAUCAAUUUCUAUGCAUCUUAGUCCAAAGUUGAUCAACUGUAGCACAGGGAACUCUCUCUCUCUCUGUCUUUCUGUUUUGAUGGCUUGAAACGUUAAUACUUUGAAGAAUCUAACCUGGAAUUGCAUGCUUAGUUCACAGAUAUCAUGGUUCAACCCACUUUAGCAGUAUUAUCAUUUUCUUGUCACAACUCGUACAGCACUUUGGCAUAAGUAAUGUUGUUUUUGGUUUCUCAACUUGAAAUUCAUAAUUUAUGUGUUUAUACUGUGUUUAACAGCAGCACUGUCAUAUGUAGUUAAGGACUGCCUGAAUUUUACAGAGAAGAAAAACCUAAAAUUUGCUCAUCUGUAGAAGAAUAUAUAUGAGUUUUGAAGUGAAUGACAAGUGCCUUUAUAGCUGGAGCACCUUCUGAACAAAACAGAAAUUCUCAAUAGAGAAUUACACUAAGAGAUUGAGAAUAAAAUCUCAGUAACUUCCAUUGUAUAUUCUGGAAAAGUAAGUGUCUAUUUACAUAUAGCUGUAUACUAUUUAUACAGAAACAGAAACCUGUUCUACAUGAAAAACGAUCUAUGCCAGCUAGCAAAUUCUAUCAGAGAAUUCCCACCAAAGCAUAACCAACUUCUGUUCAAUACAUUGAUCAGCCUCUCCCUUCAAUCUCACGCUUCUUUCUUUUCCCUGCUCUGUGUAUUUAAAACGCUCUGUUUCAUUAAUCAACAGAGCACACCGGUUCACUGUAGCUCACGGACAAUAGAAGCCAUGCUUCUAUAUUCAGAAUUUUAGCACCUUCACCUUCAAAAUUUUAGUCUAGUGUUUUUCUUGGUUAAUGGUGAUUGCUCAACUCCUUUGAAAUCCACACCUGAAGUUAAUCUUUUAUUUGCAGGGGCAUUCAUAUGCUAAUGCAAAAUUCUGCCUGUUUGUCCUCCCUUUGCAUAUGUGUGUGGCCAUUAACUUUAAAUAAUUGGCAGUGCCAUUGCAAGAGUUUACCAUUUUUUUUAAGGCCUAAUGGUCAAUUUUGGCCAAAACUUUACGCGAAUUCUCAAUUUUGGCCAAAACUUUUUUUAGUCAAUUUUGGCCUAUUUUGGCAAAUUAGACUCAAUCGUAGCUAGGAGAGAGAAUGGGGUCUAGUAAAUUGAAUGGCUGUGUUUUGGGUCAAAACGGAGACCUUUUUUUUUUUCAUGAUGUUAACCAUGGUAUACCCAUGGUUGACUAAU